UACAGGGGGUGCAAACGUUGCUCGGAAUCAUUGGGCGUAAAGCGCACGUAGGCGGUCUGUUAUGUCGGAUGUGAAAGCCCCCGGCUCAACUGGGGAGGGUCACGCGAUACUGAUCGACUCGAAGGCAGGAGAGGGUAGCGGAAUUCCCGGUGUAGUGGUGAAAUGCGUAGAUAUCGGGAGGAACACCAGUGGCGAAGGCGACUACCUGGCCUGUUCUUGACGCUGAGGCGCGAAAGCUAGGGGAGCAAACGGG
rnacentral:rRNA from 1 species